UACAGAGGGUGCAAGCGUUGUUCGGAAUUACUGGGCGUAAAGCGCGUGUAGGCAGCGACUGCAAGUCGGGUGUGAAAGCCCUGGGCUCACCCUAGGAAGUGCACUCGAAACUGCAGGGCUUGAGUUCUGGAGAGGAAGGCGGAAUUCUCGGUGUAGAGGUGAAAUUCGUAGAUAUCGAGAGGAACAUCGGUGGCGAAGGCGGCCUUCUGGACGGCGACUGACGCUGAGACGCGAAAGCGUGGGGAGCAAACAGG
rnacentral:rRNA from 1 species